GACAAACGCUGGCGGCGUGCCUAACACAUGCAAGUCGAGCGUGAAAGGGACUUCGGUCCUGAGUAAAGCGGCGAACGGGUGAGUAACACGUGGGCAACCUGCCUCAAGGACUGGGAUAACUCCGUGAAAACGGGGCUAAUACCGGGCGAUGUCGUCGAGCGCAAGCUCGCCGACCAAAUGGUAGCUUCGGCCUCCGCCUUGAGAUGGGCCCGCGUCCUAUCAGCUUGUUGGUGAGGUAGUGGCUCACCAAGGCUACGACGGGUAGCUGGUCUGAGAGGAUGGUCAGCCACACUGGGACUGAGAUACGGCCCAGACUCCUACGGGAGGCAGCAGUGGGGAAUUUUGCGCAAUGGGCGAAAGCCUGACGCAGCAACGCCGCGUGAGCGAAGAAGGCCUUCGGGUUGUAAAGCUCUGUCAGGGGGAAAGAAGGCACCUGGGUUAAUAGCCCAAGGGCUGACGGUACCCCCAAAGGAAGCCACGGCUAACUACGUGCCAGCCGCCGCGGUAAAAC
rnacentral:rRNA from 1 species